CAUAUAGUAUGCGGUCUACCGGCAAAUGCGUUCUACCGGCCGCUGUAAGAUGCGGUCUACCUACGGUUUUACCCGCAAUCUUUUUCUAUCUUUUAGAUAUACUUUAUCUUAAUUGCAUUAUACACAGAUAACAAUACUUCAACAUUUUGUAAAAGUAUUGGCCCAAUAGCUCAGUUGCUCAGUAUGUCAUUUAUUGCGCGACACCACAUUUUAACACCAUAUUUUAUACACCCAAUAUGUUGGCAAAAGACUUUUAUUCAAUAAUUAGUAGUGACGAAUCAACCACAAACUUUUUAAUCAGCAAAAAUCUUGUGGCAAAUAAUGAAAAUGCCGAAUGUUUAAAGUGUGGAAGUGGAAUGAAUUUAUACCUACGUAAGGAGAGAGGUAAGGAAAGGAGAGUUUUACGUUGUAAGAGAAAGGGAUGUCAAACAACACAAAGCUUAAGGUGAGAAAAUUAACCACAGCGAAAAUUUUGUUGAUCCACUAACACAAGCGCACACUCAGAGGAUCGAAAGUUUAUGGAGACCAUUACGCUUAAAAGUAGUUAAAAAUAUGUGUGGUACAAGUCCUGAUCUCCUUCCAAGGUAUCUCAUGGAAACAUGGUGGCGAGGAAUAAAUAAAUCAGAUUUAUUUAAUGCAUUUUUAAGAGAUAUGGCGGAAGUUUUUGUAUAACGUAUUAUAUUAUAUUUAUUUAUAUUCAUUGACAACAAAUUUUUUGACUAACAAAUUUUUAAUUAUUAAUUUUUUACUAGACAUUACUACUACUAUAAAUUAUACUAUAAUAUUAUGGUAUUUUAAAUUUAUUUAUUCACGGUAUACCGCAUACUAUAUUCGUAAAUCACCGGUAGACCGCAUACUAUACUCGUAAAUUCACCGGUAGACCGCAUACUAUAUGACAGCCGAUUAUU